UACGUAGGGGGCGAGCGUUGUCCGGAUUUAUUGGGCGUAAAGAGCUCGUAGGCGGCUUGGCAAGUCGGGUGUGAAACCUCCAGGCUCAACCUGGAGACGCCACUCGAUACUGCUAUGGCUAGAGUCCGGUAGGGGACCACGGAAUUCCUGGUGUAGCGGUGAAAUGCGCAGAGUAUCAGGAGGAACACCGGUGGCGAAGGCGGUGGUCUGGGCCGGCACUGAUGCUGAGGAGCGAAAGCGUGGGAGCAAACAGG
rnacentral:rRNA from 1 species